rnacentral:tRNA from 1 species
CUCUGGGUGGUACAACAGUUAAGCAUUUGGCUGCUAACCAAAAGGUUGGAGGUUCGAGUCCACCCAGAGU